rnacentral:snRNA from 1 species
CCAACUGCGCGCUAACCU